rnacentral:rRNA from 1 species
UACAGAGGGGGCAAGUGUUGUUCGGAAUUACUGGGCGUAAAGGGCGCGUAGGCGGCCUGUUAAGUCGAACGUGAAAUCCCCGGGCUCAACCCGGGAACUGCGUCCGAUACUGGCAGGCUUGAAUCCGGGAGAGGGAUGUGGAAUUCCAGGUGUAGCGGUGAAAUGCGUAGAUAUCUGGAGGAACACCGGUGGCGAAGGCGGCAUCCUGGACCGGUAUUGACGCUGAGGCGCGAAAGCCAGGGGAGCAAACGGG